rnacentral:lncRNA from 1 species
AAGGAAGCCCUUGUCUGAUUCAUUAUUGGUAGAAAAAAAUCCUAACUUGAGCUAAUCUAACAAUUUUGAGGCCUAUAUUACAUAUUGUUGUGUGGUUUUGGGGCAUGAGGGAAAAAUCCAGCUAAUAAUGGAAACUCAUUUACAACCCAUAUCACUCCAUAACAAAAUAGCUUUCAUAAGAUAGAAGCACAGAAAUGUGAUAUCUUUUCUUGUAUAAUUUUGAUUUAUGGCUGUACUUUAUUGCUGUUUGGUGACCUGGCAGUCUCCUCCAGGCUCAGGCCUGCUCUUAGAUAUAUUGGUGUGCAUCAUUGCAUGUCUUGUAAAACUGAUUGCUGGUAUCACAAUGUCGCUUGGGUUUUGCCAUUGCACAGGUCCACAGUACACAGUUCAUGGAAUUUUCUGAGGUGGAAAAUCAUGAUGACUUUUACACCACUCAAGAUGGAUACAUUCACACACAGGACCAGCGAGGAGCUUACAUCAUGUACGAUGUAGCUUUAAAGGACCUGAAGGACCUUGAAAAUCAGCUGCUGCUCGUGGCAAGCCAGUACAUUGAACAAGAUAAAAGCUACGUGACAUACCAUCAAUCCAGGGAUGACAACCUCUUAGCGUGGGCGCACGCAUCUGUGGAUCGAUUUGCGGUGCUGCUUGACAUUUGGACUUGUGAAGCUGCUCUCUUAGAGAAUAAACGUCAGCUUCUAGAUGGUUACUUUGAGGCUUACCAGCAUGCUCUGGAUACAGAGGAAAGAUUUGCUUUGGCCCAAGCAAUAACUGACGUCAUGCACAAACGCCCACGAUUUGAUCUCAGCCUCAGGUAUUUUGUGAACACUUACGAUGAUGAAUGCAUCUGCCUCAGGCUUCAGUUGCAGCUGGUGAGAGAAAUAUUCAGCCAACAUAUAGAUGCCCAGCGGGAAUAUGUCCAAAAGAUUUGGCGAAAAGAUCAGACAGGUGGUAUCAAUGUAUUUGGACUUCCCCAUAAUAUAAUUGCUAAGCAACUUAUCUCUCUGAACAACAGUUGCCCUACUUUGAAGAACAUUUACUUGCUGGAGUUUCACCCUUCCCUGGGCUUGGCAUCUUUAAUCCCGAAAGCUCUUGAGUACGUCUCUCAGGAGUUCUAUAGCAUCUGUAGACCAAAAACACCCAGUGAGGCAACUAGUCUAGAAAAACAAGUACUUCAGCUAGCAGUGGAUGAAUGGCUGGCCAUGGAAAAGCCUGAAUCUUCAUACAGCUCUCAAAUUCAGAAAGAUUUAUUUGCAGACACACUGCUGGAAGACCCACUCCUUGUGCGGGAUAUUGCUAUGUUAGCACUAGAGUCAGGAACAGAUGAAGAAAAGAAGCAAGGCAGAGAAAAAAAAGCCUUUAUUCUGGACAUCUUCUCCAGACUCCUGGAACUCAUCACACUCCGCCAUCGAUUGAUAGAGGCAGCCCUGGAGAGUGCACAGUUGGCUAGGAUGUACAAGGCAUUUGCAGGGGAGAUGGGUUUUGAUGAGUUCCAUUUAUACUUGAGGCCAGUGCACUUUGAAUUUGCAUCUCACAAGGAGAAAGCAGACCAGCCCCCACCAAUAUUCAUUACAGCUCUCCUAGAAGAUGACAGUAGUGUGGACAGAUAUAUUCCAUCAAAUUUAUUGUUAAGCAUUCAAGAGAUUGACAAUAAUCAAAUUGGAAAAUUUAGCUUUCAUACAAGAGAUGGUGUUAUUCAGCUCUUAUCCCCAUCUGGAGUGGAGAACAUGCAGAUCACUCUUGCCUGUCAAGUCACUCAAAAAAAUGCUCUUAUUGUUGCUGUUCAGCAAGCCUCAUUUUGUCACAUGAUCCAGCCUACACGUACAGUGGACAUGAAGGAAGCAAAUUUAAGUUUGAAGAGUCAAAGCAGCUCAGCAAGUGGAAGAAAUUCAAGAUCUGGAAAUGAAACAGAAAAACAGUCACUGAUGGCUGCACCAGCAACUUCAUAUUCUACAGGGCACCCUUUAGAUGGACACUGGACCAUUAAAAGGUAAUGUUACAUCCUGGCCCAGUCCCUAUCUCUUGAUGGAUAUUAAUACAUUUAAAUGCACCCAAAUCCUGGGCCCCAAGUGCUUCUAAGCCCCCUGAGUCUGGUUAGUGACUGGUAACUGUUCCUAGCUCUGGGUCUCUCAGGCAUACUCCCAUGUGCAGACCUCAUGUCUGACAUCCUUCUUGGGCAGUAGGACCCUGCAGUUCAGCUGUCUUAAAUCCCAGAACAAGUGGCAUGGCCCUCCUGAGCCCCCAGAUGCUUAGACUCAUUCUGUCCUUCCAAGAUCACCUGGCUGUGGGAGUUCUGGUUUCAAGUUAAACCCUUCAAAGGCAACGUGGAAUACAAGCAUAGCACAGGAAUUUCUUGACCACAGACACUUUUAGGCAACACUAAAGAGUUACAGAUCUUUGGAAGAUAACACAGUCCUGAAUGCAGUCCCCUGCCAAGUCUGAUCUCACCGUGGGUCUGAGGUUUGGCCAGCAUCCUUAGGCCUGUCAUCUUCUUACCUGUGCUGGUGGUUUGGGUCUCCAGCUCAGAAAAGCAGCCCCCUUUUAAUAUAGUCUCUCUCCCCUUCUUCCCUAUGUACUCUAGGCUGAGGAACUGCAGACCAACCCUUUUUUCAAGCAACCUUCUGUGUAGUGUUCAUUGCUCUUAUGGAUGGGUGUUAAGAGAUCAUCAGAGUUGGUGGUUUUUGCUGGCUGUCUCAUGGUAGACCUCUUGGAGGUGGAGGUUACAAUGGAAAGUGAAGGUUAUAAACAAAAUAGAAUUCACAAAACGACAUGGAAUUCCCAAUUCACUCAAACAUACUCCUGGUGUAUCACAGAUAUCUGUUAAUGUGGGGAGGAGACAAAUGCUGCAUCUUGGCAGGAGAUUAGACUAGAUGAUUCUUGCGGUCCCUUCUAACCUCAUGGUUCUAUGUUUGUAAAUAUUUUGUUUCUAUUUCCAUAUAUUUCACUUACAAUGGAACCAAAGAUAUGUGUAUUGCUAGUCUGUACUUGGGUUUU